CCAGCACCAUAAAAACCAAAAGGAAAAGGAUCACCAGUUGUGUGUGUGUGUGUUUGUGUGAGUGUGUGUGCGUGUGCUUCUUACAACACCUCUAAGGGCAAAAGGGAAGAGAUCCAAGAGGUGGAAGAAAUGAAGCCAAAAUAUCGCGAUGAGCGCUGCCAUUCUGCAGUGAUGGCAUCAUUCGGAGCCAAAGGCUGCGCAGUGUGGCGAUAGGGGGAUGAGGCUGCGUUAUCAACCAAUCAUGAAAAACACAUCGUGAGGAGAACGACCUAAAGUGCUGGAUGUAGCUCUCAAGGCGUGAAGUAAAUUCAAGUUAUAAAAAAGAAGGUCAAACAGCCAUUUUCAACAAGCACAUCUAUAGCAGGGUCUCUUUCCCAGGAAAGUGAGCAUGUCCAAACAGUUGAAGGUGGUCAGACUCAGAAACACCUCGUUGACGGGCCCCAGAUCACGGUCGAUCAAGUAAAAGAGUCGAAACAUGUGGUAGGGCACGAGGCAGGCCACCAUGAUGAGGGCGAAGCACAGGCUCUUCAGCUGAGCCCCGAAGCCCUGCUGAUAGGUGCAUCCCUGCCGAUGCUUCCUGUACAAAACCCUCAGGGCGUUUGCUUGGAGGGCCGUCAGCCCGGUAGCCACCACUAUGAUCAGCAGGCUCACGAUGUAAUUGAUCGCCAUGGCACCGGGCACCUCGCGUAUGCUUUCGCCGAAAUCAAAACAUCUCGUUUCAUUUCCUCCGGUGAUGUUGGUUUGUCCAUAGGAAAGACAGACGGUCACUGGGACUACGAUGAACACCGCCAGCCACCCCCCCGCGCUGAACAGGAGCGCGUGGAUGAAGUGGAAAGAGGCUAGCUGCUCGGCCUUGCGGUAGAACGCCAGGAGGCGCGUGACAAGGAUGAUCACGUAGAAGAGGAAAGACAUGUACAUGUGGACGUGGAUCAUGCUGCUGACCACCUUACACCAGCCGCGGCCCAGGCUCCAGCUACUGGUCACGUAAUAGUAAAUCCUGAAGGGCACGGUGACGAGGAAGAUGAAGUGGGUGAAGAUGAGGUUGAGGACAGCGGUGGAGGUGAUGGAUGUGGAGCUGGACUUCAGGAUGUGCAUCAUCAGGCUCAGGCUGACGGUGCCGCUCACCAGAACAACAGCGUUGAUGCCCACAAGGAUUGGAUGGUACCCAUCAGGAAAUGUGGUAUUCUGGGCCACCGUUGAAUUCAUCUGAGAGAGAGAGAGGAAAAUUGAUUUUGAUCCUACCCCUAUCUACAUCAAAUGAUAAAUGGUCUGUAUUUAAUUAGCAGCUUUUAUAGUCUUGACGACCACUCAAAGAACUUCACAGUAGUUUAUUGCCAUUCACACAUUCAUAGAGUGCAUCUAUGUGCCGAAAUCAAUAGUACAGACAUUUAACAAAAUAUAUUUUUACCAGCUCAUGCAACUCUAAAAACUGUGGCUACACACAACAGCGAUUAAAACAAAGGUCGUCUAUGUUGGAGGGGUUGUGGCAAGGUGGGAGACCACACACAUAUAUUUUGCGACCGUCCAAAGUUAUCAGAAUACUGGAAAAAAAAACCAAAGGGAAAUAAAAACAUGUUUAUUUAUUGACAUACCGCUAGAACCAUCACACUUUAUUUUAGGGUUAUUGCCUGAUAACCUUGAAGAAAAUAGCCAAACAAAACUUCUGAGAGCCCUUCUUCUAAUAGCAAAUAAAGUAAUAACAACCUCCUUGCUGCUGCUCUAUUACAACUGAAAGCAGAGGUAUUCCUAAACAACUGGUCCCCCAUUGCUCUACACCUCCAUUUGAUAUGAUAAGCGGAAUAUAGAGAUAUAUUUAUUUUAUUUUCUCUUUGUUUUUCCUUUUAAGCAACGGAUAUUUGCAGGCCAUUUUCUUUUUUUUCGGAAUACUGUCUUAAUGUAAUGUUAUGUGUGAUGUACUGUGUUUGUGGACAAUGCUAAUUUGUAACUCAAUUCUGAUAUGCCGUGAUCCUGAUGGCUUGGGCCCAAGACAUCCCUGGACAGUUAACCCCACUAGGCUAAGACUUGUACCCGUGGCACCUAAUUUCAUGGUAAAAAUGAUGUGAUGUACUGUAUGACUGCAUUUGAUAAAAGGAAAUAAAAAUAAAAAAACAAA